rnacentral:rRNA from 1 species
AGGACGAACGCUGGCGGCGUGCCUAACACAUGCAAGUCGAGCGAGGAGAUUCCUUCGGGAUGAUCCUAGCGGCGGACGGGUGAGUAACACGUGGGCAACCUGCCUCAUAGAGAGGAAUAGCCUUCCGAAAGGAGAUUAAUACCUCAUAACAUUGCAGUUUCGCAUGGAACAGCAAUUAAAGGAGUAAUCCGCUAUGAGAUGGGCCCGCGGCGCAUUAGCUAGUUGGUGAGGUAACGGCUCACCAAGGCGACGAUGCGUAGCCGACCUGAGAGGGUGAUCGGCCACAUUGGGACUGAGACACGGCCCAGACUCCUACGGGAGGCAGCAGUGGGGAAUAUUGCACAAUGGGGGAAACCCUGAUGCAAGCAACGCCGCGUGAGUGAUGACGGCCUUCGGGUUGUAAAGCUCUGUCUUCAGGGACGAUAAUGACGGUACCUGAGGAGGAAGCCACGGCUAACUACGUGCCAGCAGCGGC